UGGGGAAUAUUGCACAAUGGGCGCAAGCCUGAUGCAGCCAUGCCGCGUGUGUGAAGAAGGCCUUCGGGUUGUAAAGCACUUUCAGCGAGGAGGAAGGUGGUGAGCUUAAUACGCUCAUCAAUUGACGUUACUCGCAGAAGAAGCACCGGCUAACUCCGUGCCAGCAGCCGCGGUAAUACGGAGGGUGCAAGCGUUAAUCGGAAUUACUGGGCGUAAAGCGCACGCAGGCGGUUUGUUAAGUCAGAUGUGAAAUCCCCGGGCUCAACCUGGGAACUGCAUUUGAAACUGGCAAGCUAGAGUCUCGUAGAGGGGGGUAGAAUUCCAGGUGUAGCGGUGAAAUGCGUAGAGAUCUGGAGGAAUACCGGUGGCGAAGGCGGCCCCCCUGGACGAAGACUGACGCUCAGGUGCGAAAGCGUGGGGCAGCAAACAGGAUUAGAUACCCUGGUAGUCCAGCGCUGUAAACGAUGUCGAUUUGGAGGUUGUGCCCUUGAGGCGUGGCUUCCGGAGCUAACGCGUUAAAUCGACCGCC
rnacentral:rRNA from 1 species